UUUCCUUUAUCUCCUUUCUUAUUCACUUUCACGAGCGGGCAAAAUGAAUUUAGACAUUCUCCAAACUUUAUAUGGAAACUGCAAUCAAUCAUCAAUCAGUUGAAAAUCUUCUCCAAAAUUACGAAGACCUUUCCAUUAUUAUGGCUUAUAUACUCUCUAUGCUUGACCAGAGGAUUCAAACGCGAAUUGUAUUCUCCUUCAUGUUCAUCUUUUUUUCAUCAUCUGCAAAUCUGAAUCAUUGGGUUUCUCUGAGACCAUGACGGCUGCGGGUGUAGGUUCCGCCGGUGAGGUCAUGAUGAUUUUGAUGGUUCAGCAUGUAGUAAGUGGUUCGAUUUUGAUGGAAACGAUUGGGAUUUAGGGUUCCGAGGGCAACGAUGGUGACUCAUUCGUUGAUUGUUGUGUAGAUAGAUGAUCGAUUGAGCAGGCUACAAGUCUUCAAAGGGGAUUGGGAACUACACACACGAUUUGAGGUUGCAGCCUGACAGCGGAGAAAUAACAAGAUAACAAAAUGCUUAGAACCCAUGAAUUUGUGGAUGGAAAGAAUAGUUUAUUACAAAGUGAUUAAGGCUGAGAAUGUUAUCCGAGUUUGUGGAGUUUAGCCACUAAGUGUUCUUAUCAUAACUACGGGUUUUUAGGUAAAGUUUAUCAAUUACAUUGCUAUUUGGGGUUUUAAGUUUCAAUCCAGUCCGUAUAAUUUCUUCUCAUAAUCUCUCUAUUCCUUGCAUCGGUUUUUAGGUAAAAUUUAUCAAUUACAUCGCUUCAAAUUAUUAAUUUUGUGGUAGAUUUUUGUUAAUAUAAUCGUUAAUUUCAUGCUAGCUGUGAAUUUCGUUAUGAUGUUUGAUGAUUUGUUGUACGGUUUGUAGAUUAGGUUUUUGUAAUUUCAUCAAUAAUUCAGGUUUAUUAUUAUAUUUGUUGAUAUUUAACGAGUUUACGUUGCAGGGUGUUUAGCCCCUCUCUAAGCUUUUGGUUUUGACAAAUGGGUUCCGUUUGCUUGCCAAGAAAAGAUGAUACUUUAAACAUAUUGGUUUAAAGUAUUGGCCCAACAAUAUUGGUUUUGUACAUACUUUAAACAUAUUUUGGUUUUGUACACUUUAUCACCCGUGUAUUGGCCCAACAAUAUUGGUUUUGUGCUCAUCAGAGCGGUUCGCACCUCCUUCUGUGUUUCACAUCUUCUUAUGCUGGUACGUAUUUUAGGUUAUCAGUCGACGACACUGGUUUUUAAAUUGAUAUAAAUGAGUAUUAGAUCUUCACUUUCGUAUUAAAUCUUAUAAGUAUGUCUUUUUUAUUUCACCAGCAAUAUGAUUUUGCUUCAACCUUGACUGGGUUCUUGCACUGAUGUAAAUUGAUAUAAAUAAGCUUCUGUGCGUUGUGAUAUUGCUUUUUGGGAGGUGCAUUUUCAUUUACUAUGAUCUUAUUGCUUGAUUUUUUGAUGUUAUCUGUUCAAUAUGUACAUAUUGAAUUAUGAAAACUUUAGGUGAUCUAGAGAAUGAAUUGGCCAGUUAAGAAGCAAAGGUUACGAUAGGUAUACACUAUACACUUUCACAUUUCUUUACUUCUUUUAAAAGUCUUUCACUUUCACAUAUGAUAUCCAUCUUAAUGUUAUUUGAUUCAAAAGGUGUACAUACACUGAGAAGCUACAAUUGAUGGUUUGUUUUAAUACCAGUUUGAUAUUGAUAUUAUAGGUUUUGUUCUUAUUUCAUUGAAAAUUGUUUUCAUGACUUAAUACACGUUCAUCUGCAUAAGGGUCGGAGUAAUCCAGCGAAACUGGGGUGGUCAGCUGGUUUGGUUGACGGAUCAAAAUGUGUUCGGGUCAGAAGUCGUCCAACCCGUUUUUGAACAGAACAGUUUUGGGUCAAAUCAAGUUAUGAAAGAAAUGAGUUGGGGGUCAGCGUUUCGGGUAAUAAAAUAAGUUCGGGUCUGAACGGGUAUGAAAUAAAUGAGUUACGGGUAAGGGUUUAGGGUAACAAAACAGGUUCAGGUCAAAGCUGGUUAGGAGAUAGCUGAAUUAGCGUAGUUGUUUUGGAAAAAAAUCAUGUUGUUUUGGGUCCAAAUGGGUAAGGGCAAUAUGGAGUUGGCCUAGAAAAAGGUAAAAAAAAUAGAUCCAUUUGCUUUGUUUUUUUGUGAUGGCAACUGGCGUGCGUGGUAGUCUUAUUCUACUUUUUUUAUCAAAUCAAUUUUUCAAAAUCAUGUAUGUGUGAUAAAAUGAAUAAAAUUGUUGCUGAAAUGGCUAGGGUCUCUUUAAAUGUUGUUAAAGUUGCAUCUUUAUACAUGUUUUGCCUAACACAAGUUUGGGUUUAGUCUAAAUAGAUUUGGGUGGACUGAACUUGCAUACACGUUUAACUAUUUAAGGUCGCCAUUUUAAAAAAGUAUCAGAUUGGUUUGGUCAAAAGGGGUAAGGGUAACAAACAAGUUAAAUCGAAACAGCUAUUAUGGCUAAAUAUCAAUUUUUUUAUUCAAAAGGCUAUGAGUAAAAUGGGGUCGAGCUAAAAUGAGUCAUUUUUAGAAAAAGAAGUUACAGAAUAGCGAUGGAGGUAUUAUUCUAAGUUUAAGGGUGAAACUAAUUGGUUUUCAAAACUGCAUUUUUUUAAUUAAAUGGCUGCAAAAGUAUUUUUGUUAAAGGUUGAAUACAGAUAGGACAAAAGAAACACGUUUAUCGUUAUACAGGUUGAAACUGCCACAUUUACAAUUUUAGAACAAACAAGUGUUGUAUUGCUACAUUGUUUUAACUACUUGGUUGAUGAAAUUAGGCAAUGAAGAUGCUAAAAAGGUUCGGUUGCAUACAGUUGCACAAGCCGCUUAAAUGGGUUUAGUAGAAAAGAUGGUUGAUGGUUCAGGUUCUGAGGAUUCAAAUGAUGGCUCUUAAUGAGCGUGCUCCAGCCUCCAGCUAAAUUUAUUAGAAUGGCUGAGAUUGAGGAUCCAAUGAUGUGAAAAAGGUGAAGGUCAAUGGAGGUGAAGAAUGUGAAAUCCCAGCCCUUAUUUUAAAAAAAAAUUAAGACCUAUCAAAGAUCUUCUAGCACACUCAUGCCAUUUACCUAUUUAUGCAGAUUGUUAUGUUGUCAAGUUGUGCUAACAUUCAGAUAUUUUUACAUCUUAUUGCUUUAAUUAUGGUAACCACAUUUAGUUAUAUAUUCGUUCAUUGCAAGGUCUUGAUAGUGCUGGGGUUGAGAAAAUCCUUGACCUGGCUUCAAUAACCUUAAACAAGAAUUCUGGAGAUCACGCGUUGUAAUAUCUCGAUUUAAUGUGACAGGAGACAAAAGUGCACUUCUGCCAUGUGGCCUACGUAUCGACUCACCAGCUAUGAUAAUCCAUGGAUUCAUUGAACAAGAGCUCUUCUAUAUUGCCGAAUUUGUUCUGAUUUUGGUAUCCAACUAAUAUGUAUGCUACCAAUGGUGGUGGUGUGGUGUUGGCUGGAAAAGGCCAGAAACUGCAGUUGCAAGUGUAUUUGUCCAAACUGCAGACGUGUGGAUAAAUUUGGCACAUGUUCAUUUCACUCAACGCAAUUUUCAUUAGCCAUUAAAAUGAAUGAGCUUUGGAGUGCUUGAUACGAUACCAGUUGCAGAGUCUUUAAUUAAACUAUAGGCAAGAUGUGAGCUGUGUUGAAAGCCCGUUUAUUUUACGUUACGGAAGACAGACGAAAUUGAGAGGGAACUGGUUGCUGGUGCAGAUGUAUACAUGCCAGUACGUAGGCAUCACUAUGCAAGUGGGCAAGUGCUCAAAGAGAUUGCAGAAACUGUUCUUCAGACACACACUACUUAGUGUCGUUUGUUGUUAUUUAUAGAUUUAAUACAACAUUUCUUUCAUUUCAAAAAAUUAUUUAUAGACGUAUACAUGAUAAUUAAUAUGAAAUGUAAUCGUUAAUUAAUUUUUAUAAGAUAUUAUUUAUCUUAAUAUUCAAACAAACCUGUAAUAAAGUAUUUACGUAUUAAAGUAUA